CCAUAGGGAAUUUUGGUUCAUUAGAAGAAAUAAAAAUUGUAACAAAGUUUUCGUAGGUGAACCUGCGGAGGGAUCCAUACAAAGUGACCCGGUUUUACCACCGGGAUGUUCAUAACCCUUUGUUGUCCGACUCUGUUGCCUCCGGGGCGACCCUGCCUUCGGGCGGGGGCUCCGGGUGGACACUUCAAACUCUUGCGUAACUUUGCAGUCUGAGUAAACUUAAUUAAUAAAUUAAAACUUUUAACAACGGAUCUCUUGGUUCUGGCAUCGAUGAAGAACGCAGCGAAAUGCGAUAAGUAAUGUGAAUUGCAGAAUUCAGUGAAUCAUCGAAUCUUUGAACGCACAUUGCGCCCCCUGGUAUUCCGGGGGGCAUGCCUGUUCGAGCGUCAUUUCACCACUCAAGCCUCGCUUGGUAUUGGGCAACGCGGUCCGCCGCGUGCCUCAAAUCGACCGGCUGGGUCUUCUGUCCCCUAAGCGUUGUGGAAACUAUUCGCUAAAGGGUGUUCGGGAGGCUACGCCGUAAAACGACCCCAUUUCUAAGGUUGACCUCGGAUCAGGUAGGGAUACCCGCUGUUCUUAAGCAUAUCAAUAAGCGGAGGA
rnacentral:rRNA from 1 species